rnacentral:pre_miRNA from 1 species
UGGUUUGAGAGGUUGAAGCUGCCAGCAUGAUCUGGUAAUGGACCUAGCUAUCGCCCUUUUUUUAUUUUUGUAUUCUUAGGCCUCUUUUAUAGUUUUUGUAUAGGUAUGUUAAGUUAGAUUGUUUAUGACCGGUUUUAGAUCAAAAUUCUUUUGAGUCCAAGAUGAGUUUUUUUUUUUUCUUUCAGGAGAAGUUUAUCAAUCAUUUGGUUAAGGGCUUUUAGAGUCUUAGAUUACCAGGCAACUUAGAUGUGUUUAUAAAGAACCCUGCCUGUACUUAAGCUUCAUAGGUUGUCGGUUCAUACUAUCAGAUCAUCUUGCAGCUUCAAUCACUCACUCA